ensembl:lncRNA
UUUUUUUUAUAUGUAGGAUGGAUGAUUUGUUAUAACUGUCAGGGAGCCAGGGGUUACAGUAUAUUAUCGUCAGUUGAGACUUCAGUCCGGCUCCAUCAUUUGCAGGCGCAUUCAGUCUGUGUUUGUUCACCCUAGAGACGCAUUUCCAUGGCUUAUGCAAAUUCUUUUUUUUCCAGCCUCAAGACAUCAGUUUAGCUGUGAAGUUGAGCGUUUGUGCUGCCGUUAGAGUGAGUCACGCUGCCUGGAAUUGAAUGUAGCCUUGCAUUUGUUAAUUGAAUUGUACCAGAAAGAAGAAUAAAAUGUUCAGUCUUUUCACUGAAUGUUUUACGUACAUCAUCAUCUCUCAUGGUUUUUUUUUUUUUUUUUUACUUCUAGUUAUCACUUUUUGUCCACUGUUUUGGAUGCAGGAAGGUGUGGUGACGUCUCGACAGACAGAAUCCCCUUGUUAACUGUAGGAAUAGAAAAACACUAUUUUGUGAAAUAAGCUCCCACAAGUAAAGUUGACGUGAUUGUUUAAUACGACUAAGGAGGCACUAGAUAGGAAAGUCCCUGCUUUUAACCCCACCCAGUAGUUCCCUCCCCCUGUUUUUUCAACUAGCUGCAUGGGAAGUUAAGUUGCGGCCUCAACAGUCUUAUCACAUUCACAGAUGUUAAACUCAUCUGUGGACUUCUGUUCAAAAUCAGUUGUCUCUGCAGACAUUGAGCAGGUUUCCUAACAGAAUACCGUUUUGUCCUCCACAGCCAGGCUUAGGACAAAUCUGGGAAGCCGGCCAGUAGCCGCGGUCCCAAGCUGGUGGUGGGUGGUGGAGCUACUCACGGUCAUAACUGAUCCUCAGAGUCGGUGUACAUAACCCUGACCUCUCUGUCACACUGCAGGCUACCAUCUCUGUCUCUCCAGUGAUUUAUUCCGGCUGGUAGUCAUGGCAGGACCCUGGGAAGAUAAACUGCAUGGCCAGUUUGACCUCACUGGUGCUCUGGUUGGGUUUCUAAGAAUUGUCUGUUACGUGAGGAUGCCCCCCCCCCCCCUUUUCCCUGUCUGUUUUCUCUGUCAACCUUGCUUUGUGUCACGAAAAAAAGAAAUGAAUGGAAUUAAAUGCACAUCUUUCCUCAAUCACCCACCCAUGUCACACUCACAGUAUAACUCUUGAGUUUGCUGAUUAAGAAAAUGCCUUAAGUACAGCUCCGUAGUGGGUGUCUAUUUAUUUGCCCGUGGUUUUGGUUGGAUUUAAUUUAUUUAAGUAGAGUGAGGGAGUAGAUUUUUUUUUCUUUUUGUUUGUUGUUCUUUUAAUAUAGAAACACAUUUUUUUAUUCUGCAGAUAUAUUGAUCAUGAUUGUAAAGAUGUGAAAAAUUUCCAUACCAGUAUUUAACAGAUGUUAUUGUUCUGUGUAGUGUCAUAACAAUAAAAGAAUAUGGAACAUGUGACUUCACCUAUAUCAUUUUGUCUGAUGCUUUAUUUUUAGUAUGCUGAAAUGCUUUCCUCUCGGUCUCUCCCUCUUUCUUUCUCUUACACACACACACACACACACAUACA